rnacentral:lncRNA from 1 species
UGGAUCCCAGCCUAUAGAAUAACAGCUGUAUAGUGUGGAUCCCAGCCUAUAGAAUAACAGCUGCAUAGUGUGGAUCCCAGCCUAUAGAAUAACAGCUGCAUAGUGUGGAUCCCAGCCUAUAGAAUAACAGCUGUAUAGUGUGGAUCCCAGCCUAUAGAAUAACAGCUGCAUAGUGUGGAUCCCAGCCUAUAGAAUAAAAGUGUGGCUUUUAUUGAUCAAUCUAAUUCAUGCUGAUAAAAUAAAUAAAUCCACAGGUCUAAUGGACACAUGAUUAAACUCGUAGACUUUUGAUAGACUUAAAGAGGUAAUCUGUAGUUGCUACAUCCGUAUUUGGACUUAUAAAUUAUAUAUAUACAUACACAUCCAUUAAUUCUUGAAGAAUAUAACUUAUAUGAGCUUAGUUCAACUGUCACAUGAGAAUCUGAAAUAUAAGCUUGUUUUCUCCUAUGUUUGUAAAUAUUGUAAAUGUAAACAAACACUGUAAGUCCUCAUAACAUGGUUAAAAAACAAUCAUUUUGAUAUCAUGGAUGGUCAUUCCUUGCAUCUGUCUAGUAAUCUGAAAGUUAGUUAACAUUUCUCCAGGCCCAUCCCUCAGCUUUUUUUUACCAAAACAGAGUCGGGGUAGACGUUUUGUUAUUUUUCUGUUAUUUUACCAGGUAAGUUGACUGAGAACACGUUCUCAUUUACAGCAAACGACCUGGGGAAUAGUUACAGGGGAGAAGAGGGGGAUGAAUGAGCCAAUUGUAAGCUAACAUUGUGAUAGCCUGGAACCUGUCUCUACACCUUAAUACAGCCAUCUAUUGGCCAUGGAAGGUAACAGCCUGGAACCUGUCUCUUCACCGUAAUACAGCCAUCUAUUGACCAUGGAAGGUAACAGCCUGGAACCUGUAUCUACACCUUAAUACAGCCAUCUAUUGACCAUGGAAAGUAACAGCCUGGAACCUGUCUCUACACCUUAAUACAGCCAUCUAUUGACCAUGGAAGGUAACAGCCUGGAACCUCCUGUCUCUACACCUUAAUACAGCCAUCUGUUGACCAUGGAAGGUAACAGCCUGGAACCUGUCUCUUCACCGUAAUACAGCCAUCUAUUGACCAUGGAAGAUAACAGCCUGGAACCUCCUGUCUCUACACCUUAAUACAGCCAUCUAUUGAUAUUAGAACUGCUGGGGUGAGAGAGAGAGAGAGAUUUUCGUUUUUUACUUUAGAGCUCCAGUGACUAAAAGAGUUCCUUCCUCCGUGAUGAAAUAGUCUGUUAAAACAUUGUGAAACAAAACAAAAAUACUAUCUUAUUCUGUUGCAGUCAUUAGACGAUACUACGCUCUAAGACCCAGUCAAAAGCAUAGCCACUAUUAAAGGCUGCAGGUCCAGACAAGCUGGACCCCUACCUGUUAAAGAUAGCAGCUGAUAUUAUUACUGAAUCUGUAGCUCACAUCUUUAACGUGAGUCUCUUGACCAAUUCCAUACCCAGCAUUUAGAAAUCAGUUUAUGUCUUCCCACUGCUAAAGGGUGGAGAUCCCUCAGAUGCUAAUAAUUACCGUCCUAUCUCUAAACUCCCUAUCCUGGACAAAGUCUAUGAAUCCCUAGUGAAUUCCCUAUCCUGGACAAAGUCUAUGAAUCUCUAGUGAACUCUCUAUCCUGGACAAAGUCUAUGAAUCAGGUGAAUCCAGGUGAAAGCUAUGAUCCCUUAUUGAUGUCAAAUGUUAAAUCCACUUAGGUCAGUGUCGAUAAAGGGGUGGAUACUGGUUAAAGAAGGAUUUUUAAGCCUUGAUACAAUUGAGACAUGGAUUGUGUGUGCGUGUGUACCAUUCAGAGGGUGAACGAGCAAGACAAAAUAUUUAAGGGCCUUUUGAACAGGGUACGAGUAUUGAUCCCAGGCGCACCGGUUUGUGUCAAAGAACUGCAACGCUGCUGGGGUUCUUCACGCUCAAAAGUUUCCAGUGUGUUUCAAAAACGAUCCACCAUCCAAAAGGGCAUCCAGCCAACUUGGCACAACUGUGGGAAGCAUUGGAGUCAGCAUGGGCCCAGCAUCGCUGUGGAACGCUUGACAUCCUGUAGAGUCCAUGCUCCGACGAGUUGACGCUGUACUGAGGGCAAAACGUGCUGCAAGUCAAUAUUAGGAAGGCGUUCUUAAUGUUUUGUACACUCAGUGUAUAUUGACAAUUUGAACUAUUCAUUUAGUGUAAAUGGCUCAGUUCUGCCUCAAGGACAAGAUUCAUCCCAACGUCAACAUGCAUAUCAGAUGGUAAAUCCUCCUUCCUGAUCGUUCCUGUAGACGUAUCAUACUAUAUCAGAUGGUAAAUCCUCCAUCCUAACCCUUCCUGUAGACGUAUCAUACUGUAUCAGAUGGUAAAUCCUCCACCCUGACCCUUCCUGUAGACGUAUCAUACUGUAUCAGAUGGUAAAUCCUCCAUCCUGAUCGUUCCUGUAGACGUAUCAUACUGUAUCAGAUGGUAAAUCCUCCAUCCUGAUCGUUCCUGUAGACGUAUCAUACUGUAUCAGAUGGUAAAUCCUCCAUCCUGAUCGUUCCUGUAGACGUAUCAUACUGUAUCAGAUGGUAAAUCCUCCACCCUGACCCUUCCUGUAGACGUAUCAUACUGUAUCAGUUGGUAAAUCCUCCACCCUGACCUUUCCUGUAGACGUAUCAUACUGUAUCAGAUGGUAAAUCCUCCACCCUGACCCUUCCUGUAGACGUAUCAUACUGUAUCAGAUGGUAAAUCCUCCACCCUGACCCUUCCUGUAGACGUAUCAUACUGUAUCAGAUGGUAAAUCCUCC